UACGUAGGGGGCAAGCGUUGUCCGGAUUUACUGGGCGUAAAGAGCGUGUAGGCGGCCAUGCAGGUCCGUUGUGAAAACUGGAGGCUUAACCUCCAGACGUCGACGGAAACCGCGUGGCUAGAGUCCGGAAGAGGAGAGUGGAAUUCCUGGUGUAGCGGUGAAAUGCGCAGAUAUCAGGAAGAACACCCGUGGCGAAGGCGGCUCUCUGGGACGGUACUGACGCUGAGACGCGAAAGCGUGGGGAGCGAACAGG
rnacentral:rRNA from 1 species